rnacentral:rRNA from 1 species
GACGAACGCUGGCGGCGUGCUUAACACAUGCAAGUCGAACGGUAAGGCCCUUCGGGGUACACGAGUGGCGAACGGGUGAGUAACACGUGGGUGAUCUGCCCUGCACUUCGGGAUAAGCCUGGGAAACUGGGUCUAAUACCGGAUAGGACCACUGCCUGCAUGGGUGGUGGUGGAAAGUUUUUGCGGUGUGGGAUGGGCCCGCGGCCUAUCAGCUUGUUGGUGGGGUGAUGGCCUACCAAGGCGACGACGGGUAGCCGGCCUGAGAGGGUGACCGGCCACACUGGGACUGAUAUCCGGCCCAGACUCCUACGGAAGGCAGCAGUGGGGAAUAUUGCACAAUGGGCGCAAGCCUGAUGCAGCGACGCCGCGUGAGGGAUGACGGCCUUCGGGUUGUAAACCUCUUUCAGCACCGACGAAGCGCAAGUGACGGUAGGUGCAGAAGAAGGACCGGCCAACUACGUGCCAGCCGCCGCAGUAA